rnacentral:rRNA from 1 species
GUGGGGAAUAUUGGACAAUGGGGGGAACCCUGAUCCAGCCAUGCUGCGUGUGUGAAGAAGGCCUUUUGGUUGUAAAGCACUUUAAGCGAGGAGGAGGCUACCGAGAUUAAUACUCUUGGAUAGUGGACGUUACUCGCAGAAUAAGCACCGGCUAACUCUGUGCCAGCAGCCGCGGUAAUACAGAGGGUGCAAGCGUUAAUCGGAUUUACUGGGCGUAAAGCGCGCGUAGGUGGCCAAUUAAGUCAAAUGUGAAAUCCCCGAGCUUAACUUGGGAAUUGCAUUCGAUACUGGUUGGCUAGAGUAUGGGAGAGGAUGGUAGAAUUCCAGGUGUAGCGGUGAAAUGCGUAGAGAUCUGGAGGAAUACCGAUGGCGAAGGCAGCCAUCUGGCCUAAUACUGACACUGAGGUGCGAAAGCAUGGGGAGCAAACAGGAUUAGAAACCCCGGUAGUCC